rnacentral:rRNA from 1 species
GACCCGAAACCAGGUGAUCUACCCAUGUCCAGGAUGAAGGUAAGGUAAUACUUACUGGAGGUCCGAACCCACGCACGUUGAAAAGUGCGGGGAUGAGGUGUGGGUAGCGGAGAAAUUCCAAUCGAACUUGGAGAUAGCUGGUUCUCUCCGAAAUAGCUUUAGGGCUAGCCUCGAGGUAAAGAGUCAUGGAGGUAGAGCACUGUUUGGACUAGGGGCCCUUCUCGGGUUACCGAAUUCAGAUAAACUCCGAAUGCCAUGUACUUAUACUCGGGAGUCAGACUGCGAGUGAUAAGAUCCGUAGUCGAAAGGGAAACAGCCCAGACCACCAGUUAAGGUCCCCAAAUAUAUGUUAAGUGGAAAAGGAUGUGGGGUUGCUUAGACAACCAGGAUGUUGGCUUAGAAGCAGCCACCAUUGAAAGAGUGCGUAAUAGCUCACUGGUCGAGUGACCCCGCGCCGAAAAUGUACCGGGGCUAAACAUAUUACCGAAACUGUGGAUGAACCUCUUUAGAGGUUCGUGGUAGGAGAGCGUUCUAAGGGCGGUGAAGUCAGACCGGAAGGACUGGUGGAGCGCUUAGAAGUGAGAAUGCCGGUAUGAGUAGCGAAAGAAGGGUGAGAAUCCCUUCCACCGAAUAUCUAAGGUUUCCUGAGGAAGGCUCGUCCGCUCAGGGUUAGUCGGGACCUAAGCCGAGGCCGAUAGGCGUAGGCGAUGGACAACAGGUAGAGAUUCCUGUACCAGUGCUAAUUGUUUAACCGAUGGGGUGACACAGAAGGAUAGGGAAUCGCACGAAUGGAAAUGUGCGUCCAAGCAGUGAGUGUGAGAAGUAGGCAAAUCCGCUUCUCGCGAAGCAUGAGCUGUGAUGGGGAAGGAAAUUAAGUACGGAAGUUCCUGAUUUCACGCUGUCAAGAAAAGCCUCUAGGAAGAGUAGUACUGCCCGUACCGCAAACCGACACAGGUAGAUGAGGAGAGAAUCCUAAGGUGAGCGAGAGAACUCUCGUUAAGGAACUCGGCAAAAUGACCCCGUAACUUCGGGAGAAGGGGUGCUCUAUUAGGGUGCAAGCCCGAGAGAGCCGCAGUGAAUAGGCCCAGGCGACUGUUUAGCAAAAACACAGGUCUCUGCAAAACCGUAAGGUGACGUAUAGGGGCUGACGCCUGCCCGGUGCUGGAAGGUUAAGAGGAGUGCUUAGCUUCGGCGAAGGUACGAAUUGAAGCCCCAGUAAACGGCGGCCGUAACUAUAACGGUCCUAAGGUAGCGAAAUUCCUUGUCGGGUAAGUUCCGACCCGCACGAAAGGCGCAACGAUCUGGGCACUGUCUCAACGAGAGACUCGGUGAAAUUAUAGUACCUGUGAAGAUGCAGGUUACCCGCGACAGGACGGAAAGACCCCGUGGAGCUUUACUGCAACCUGAUAUGGAAUGUUUGUACCGCUUGUACAGGAUAGGUAGGAGCCGAAGAGACGUGUGCGCUAGCAUACGAGGAGGCAAUGGUGGGAUACUACCCUGGCUGUAUGACCAUUCUAACCCGCCACGCUUAGCGCGUGGGGAGACAGUGUCAGGUGGGCAGUUUGACUGGGGCGGUCGCCUCCUAAAGAGUAACGGAGGCGCCCAAAGGUUCCCUCAGAAUGGAUGGAAAUCAUUCGCAGAGUGUAAAGGCACAAGGGAGCUUGACUGCGAGACUGACAAGUCGAGCAGGGACGAAAGUCGGGCUUAGUGAUCCGGUGGUUCCGCAUGGAAGGGCCAUCGCUCAACGGAUAAAAGCUACCCCGGGGAUAACAGGCUUAUCUCCCCCAAGAGUCCACAUCGACGGGGAGGUUUGGCACCUCGAUGUCGGCUCGUCGCAUCCUGGGGCUGUAGUCGGUCCCAAGGGUUGGGCUGUUCGCCCAUUAAAGCGGCACGCGAGCUGGGUUCAGAACGUCGUGAGACAGUUCGGUCCCUAUCCGUCGCGGGCGCAGGAAAUUUGAGAGGAGCUGUCCUUAGUACGAGAGGACCGGGAUGGACACACCGCUGGUGUACCAGUUGUUCCGCCAGGAGCAUCGCUGGGUAGCUAUGUGUGGCAGGGAUAAACGCUGAAAGCAUCUAAGCGUGAAGCCCCCCUCAAGAUGAGAUUUCCCAUUUCUUCGGAAAGUAAGAUCCCUGAAAGAUGAUCAGGUAGAUAGGUUUGGAGUGGAAGUGUAGCGAUACAUGGAGCGGACAAAUACUAAUCGAUCGAGGACUUAACCAAAA